UGAGGAGCGACAGGUAGUCGCGGCUGCUAUGACACAGCAGUUAAGAGGGGUUCAAAUCCCCCCCGAACCGGAGGGUUAUCCGGCCCA
rfam:Soil-borne wheat mosaic virus (SBWMV) complete RNA 1 segment: 150 kDa protein, 209 kDa readthrough protein and 37 kDa protein genes, complete cds.